GUGGAUGGUUUAGAAAGGUUCAGACUGGAGAAAGAUCUGAUCGAUUGGUGGCUGGUUGAGUUCUGAGGCUAGAACUCUUAAAGCAAGGUGAAGGAGGAGCGCUGUCUUUGGUUCAAUUUUCGUGUGGAUCACCGUUGGAGGGCAGACACUUGGACGCCUCGUGAAAUUGAAUUAGCGUUACAGGUAUUCUUCUGAUCUAAAUUUAUUUUAUUGUACUUUGAUAGAUAUAGUCAAGAAUUUCUGGGCAUUAGGGUUUUCAGUGCAUCGGGUGUUUUUAAUAAAAAUUUUAAACACCUAAUCCUUCAGCUGCGCCAUCGAAACCCAACAGUGGUAUCAGAGCCUACCUUGAUCUAUAUAAUCAAAGGUUAAAUUAUUAUCUUGAUUGUGAUCAAGCAAGGAUUUUUAGUUUGGUUCAAAUCAGCUCAAGGGUUGAACCCGAUUAAACAUCCAAAACCUAAUGUCUUAAAGAUAGUUUUAAAUAUAAAAUGCAUGAUAUAUGUGUAGAAUUUUUUUAGUAGCUUAGUACUCUAAUUGAGGUUCAUCAUCAGGCCGUCCGAUCAUAAGAGCAAGUAGGGUUCAGAGAUCCUCUUCCUAUUCAAUAGGGUACUCUUAUGGCGCAUAGGGGUGCCAUUGUGAUGUCCUAAGAAGAAGAACCGUGAAAAAAAUAUUUUGUAUUCAUGCAUGUUAUUAGAACUUUAUGCAUAUGUGAUAUGCUUGAGAUGCUUAGUUAUAAUCAUAUUGAAUGAUUAUGAUUUCAUAUCUUAGAGAUAUGAAUAGAUGCCAUGAUUAGUUGUUAUGAUUAUUAAGAUAUAACUAUAAUAAUGCAUCAUUAUGAUUAAAUUAAGAUAUGCUUGAGACCAUUAAAACCCUCAUAAAAAUUAUAUUAAGUCGUAGUGUUAUGAAUCAGUGACUGACCUAUUUUCUUGAAUCGAUUAAUUAAUUGGUGUCUAAGGAGUGUUUCAAGUACGAUGAUUAUUUAAUUGAUUUCGUUGCUGGCCUGGCCAAUUUUAUUGGUGUCUAAGAAAAGCAACGGGGAGACCCCCACCAAUCUUAACACUUUCCUGACCAAUUGGAUUAGUUCGAAUCUUGAAUGAAGAUAGCUCAGUAUUUAAAACACUACAUAUGCCUUCUUUCAUAUCUACUCAACAUCCUGUCAAAAAUCAUAGUAGGUUUGUUGUGAUAUCCACAAGGCUUGCUAUUGAGAUUGAUAUGGAUUUGUCUUGGUGCAUAUUAUAUGCUUUAUGGCAUAUUUGGAUAUAUUGCUUUGUUGUGAUAUCCACAAAGACAUCAUUUUUCAGGUAUGGCUGUAUGGAAAUGAAGAAUCUGACUUAACUGAAAAAUACUAUAGUUUGUUGUGAUAUCCACAAAGCUAUGAGUAUUUUUAGAGGCAGAUUAUGUUGAGAGUUGCAUGAGAUGCAAUUGGAUAGGUUUUCCUAUUUUUGAACUUAUUGAGGUUUGUUGUGAUAUCUACAAGACUUCAAUAAGGGAUUAGGGACUCAACCCCAUUAAGAAACCAUAUUAGGAUUUCUAGUUUGCCAUAUAAGAGGGCUAUGGUAUCCGAUAAAAUAGUGAGAGACAACUAGUUUUUAAAAGUCCUCAACUAGUUAUGCAUGUCAAACUUGAGUGGUUUGCUUAUACUAUUAUUCUUUAUUUAUGCAGAUUUAAGUAUGCAUUAUGGCUUUUUUAUUUUCACUACAUAACACUAUAGAUAAAAAUAUGUUGACCGAUUCCAACUAUAUGGAUGAGUUGAGGAACUUGCAAGUUAGGUUCAUAUCUGAGAAGAACUCCAAUAUUUUGGAUAUUCUGACCUUGAAAUGGUCAGUAAUAAUGAGAAGGCAAUGAUGUCCAUAUGGAUAUUAUUUGUGCUAAAUUUGGACAUUGAGAGUAUAAUUGCAAGAAUUAUCUUGCAAGCUUGAAGCAGGGUGCAAGUAUAGCACCAAAAGGUAUGUAUAUGAUACAAACC
rnacentral:lncRNA from 1 species